CCUACGGGAGGCAGCAGUGGGGAAUUUUGGACAAUGGGCGAAAGCCUGAUCCAGCAAUGCCGCGUGUGGGAAGAAGGCCUUCGGGUUGUAAACCACUUUUGUACGGAACGAAACGGUUCGCUUUAAUACAGUGGGCUAAUGACGGUACCGUAAGAAUAAGCACCGGCUAACUACGUGCCAGCAGCCGCGGUAAUACGUAGGGUGCGAGCGUUAAUCGGAAUUACUGGGCGUAAAGCGUGCGCAGGCGGUCAUAUAAGACAGUUGUGAAAUCCCCGGGCUCAACCUGGGAAUUGCAUCUGUGACUGUAUAGCUAGAGUACGGUAGAGGGGGAUGGAAUUCCGCGUGUAGCAGUGAAAUGCGUAGAUAUGCGGAGGAACACCGAUGGCGAAGGCAAUCCCCUGGACCUGUACUGACGCUCAUGCACGAAAGCGUGGGGAGCAAACAGGAUUAGAUACCCUGGUAGUCCACGCCCUAAACCGAUGUCAACUGGUUGUUGGGUGCAUUAGUACUCAGUAACGAAGCUAACGCGUGAAGUUGACCGCCUGGGGAGUACGGCCGCAAGGUUGAAACUCAAAUGAAUUGACGG
rnacentral:rRNA from 1 species